rnacentral:rRNA from 1 species
GGGACACGUGGUAUCCUGUCUGAAUAUGGGGGGACCAUCCUCCAAGGCUAAAUACUCCUGACUGACCGAUAGUGAACCAGUACCGUGAGGGAAAGGCGAAAAGAACCCCGGCGAGGGGAGUGAAAAAGAACCUGAAACCGUGUACGUACAAGCAGUGGGAGCACGCUUAGGCGUGUGACUGCGUACCUUUUGUAUAAUGGGUCAGCGACUUAUAUUCUGUAGCAAGGUUAACCGAAUAGGGGAGCCGAAGGGAAACCGAGUCUUAACUGGGCGUUAAGUUGCAGGGUAUAGACCCGAAACCCGGUGAUCUAGCCAUGGGCAGGUUGAAGGUUGGGUAACACUAACUGGAGGACCGAACCGACUAAUGUUGAAAAAUUAGCGGAUGACUUGUGGCUGGGGGUGAAAGGCCAAUCAAACCGGGAGAUAGCUGGUUCUCCCCGAAAGCUAUUUAGGUAGCGCCUCGUGAAUUCAUCUCCGGGGGUAGAGCACUGUUUCGGCAAGGGGGUCAUCCCGACUUACCAACCCGAUGCAAACUGCGAAUACCGGAGAAUGUUAUCACGGGAGACACACGGCGGGUGCUAACGUCCGUCGUGAAGAGGGAAACAACCCAGACCGCCAGCUAAGGUCCCAAAGUCAUGGUUAAGUGGGAAACGAUGUGGGAAGGCCCAGACAGCCAGGAUGUUGGCUUAGAAGCAGCCAUCAUUUAAAGAAAGCGUAAUAGCUCACUGGUCGAGUCGGCCUGCGCGGAAGAUGUAACGGGGCUAAACCAUGCACCGAAGCUGCGGCAGCGACACUAUGUGUUGUUGGGUAGGGGAGCGUUCUGUAAGCCUGCGAAGGUGUGCUGUGAGGCAUGCUGGAGGUAUCAGAAGUGCGAAUGCUGACAUAAGUAACGAUAAAGCGGGUGAAAAGCCCGCUCGCCGGAAGACCAAGGGUUCCUGUCCAACGUUAAUCGGGGCAGGGUGAGUCGACCCCUAAGGCGAGGCCGAAAGGCGUAGUCGAUGGGAAACAGGUUAAUAUUCCUGUACUUGGUGUUACUGCGAAGGGGGGACGGAGAAGGCUAUGUUGGCCGGGCGACGGUUGUCCCGGUUUAAGCGUGUAGGCUGGUUUUCCAGGCAAAUCCGGAAAAUCAAGGCUGAGGCGUGAUGACGAGGCACUACGGUGCUGAAGCAACAAAUGCCCUGCUUCCAGGAAAAGCCUCUAAGCAUCAGGUAACAUCAAAUCGUACCCCAAACCGACACAGGUGGUCAGGUAGAGAAUACCAAGGCGCUUGAGAGAACUCGGGUGAAGGAACUAGGCAAAAUGGUGCCGUAACUUCGGGAGAAGGCACGCUGAUAUGUAGGUGAAGUCCCUCGCGGAUGGAGCUGAAAUCAGUCGAAGAUACCAGCUGGCUGCAACUGUUUAUUAAAAACACAGCACUGUGCAAACACGAAAGUGGACGUAUACGGUGUGACGCCUGCCCGGUGCCGGAAGGUUAAUUGAUGGGGUUAGCGCAAGCGAAGCUCUUGAUCGAAGCCCCGGUAAACGGCGGCCGUAACUAUAACGGUCCUAAGGUAGCGAAAUUCCUUGUCGGGUAAGUUCCGACCUGCACGAAUGGCGUAAUGAUGGCCAGGCUGUCUCCACCCGAGACUCAGUGAAAUUGAACUCGCUGUGAAGAUGCAGUGUACCCGCGGCAAGACGGAAAGACCCCGUGAACCUUUACUAUAGCUUGACACUGAACAUUGAGCCUUGAUGUGUAGGAUAGGUGGGAGGCUUUGAAGUGUGGACGCCAGUCUGCAUGGAGCCGACCUUGAAAUACCACCCUU